GGUUUAACUGUCAAUCCUAAUUUAGUCGACCACAUUGUAUUUCAACCUUACAAAUCUAUCUUAUAGAUUAUCCUGGCUAAGGUUUUACUAAAUUGAAAUACGCUGAUGCAUAUCUCCUACUAAUUUAGAGGGAUCAAUUCCAUCUUGACUCACACACUGACUUGACAAAUACUUGACUGCACCUAGUAGCCUUUCGAUGUUGAGUUGGAAACUCAGAUAGUCUGAUACUAAAAUACAGUGAGUUACUUACAAGUCACCAUGAUGGUC
rnacentral:lncRNA from 1 species